GCAGGACUAAAAGUAGCACUCGACUAAUAUAUCAAUUAUCUCUCUUUUGUCCGACCCCCAUAAUGGAGGUUUUCACCCUUUAUAGAGGCCCUUAGUGAACCCCUCAGCCUUGGGUCCUUUUCACCAGACAUUUAAUGCGUCACCCUUCGUAGACUAGCUUACUGACACCUUUUAUUUGUGAAAAGGGGAAUACAAACAUGAGCGGAUAUAAUCACUAAACUAAAAUUUAAAUUGAUUCAAGUACAAUAAAACUCAUGACUUUGGUGAUUUUCUUCUGAAUAUAUGUUCUGCACUUAAUUCCCAUCUCUGCAAGUAUUUUGUUAUCGGAUUAACGGGAGAGGGAGGAUUUGAACGUGAAACAUGUUCCGACAUUGAAAAGAGAGAGACCACGGGAAUGCGAAGCUGUUCGGAAUCAAGUUAUGCUUGCAGGUCGUAGGCAUACGUAGUUGUCGACUACAAUGCAACUUAGACCCCCUUUUCUGUAUCUAUUUUUCAUCGGUGAGUCAUGGAAAUAGACAUUGAAUGUAAACAAACUGGUUACGCAGAAUCUAACACUAGAACGUUAUCGAUGCAAUUAUGAAGAAUAUGGAAGUAAGGACAUGAAGAAAUAUAACUACAAACUAAGGACAUUCAUUGAUAUUGUUUAACCAAAAUCCAGGCAUUCCAAACAAUCCAAACUAAAACAUUGCAUCAGGUAUCCAAAUGAUAAAGUCAAUUAGUGAAGUUAAAAGCGGUUGUACUUUCAGUAAAACUUAAUUUUGGAGGACCUUAGUGAAGUUAACUAGGGACGGUCUGACUUUAUAAUAGUAGAGAUCUUCUAUUCGGCCAUUGCCACCUCGGUGUUCUUAGUCUGGUAAGGAGCACCAUUAGUAUGACUAUGUUGGUAAACCAAUCUUGCUCAUUUAAAUCUGAAAGAAAGAAGUGAAAGACACAGGUAAUGAGGUUCCAGUUAUGGUAUAUAGGAAUGCUUCUGCACAUGGCAUUACAACGCAAAUUACACGCCUCGCAAAGUACUCACAGGACAGAAGCACCAAAAACCAGGAUAAAGGAAUAGGAACAAGCUAGGGACCCUGAAAGUAUAAAUCAGUCUCUUCAAAUGUGCGCAGCAAUUUGGCAUCCUAGCCUGUCGGAUAUAGAUUUAUAACGGGGUUAACUAGACGGAUAAGCGACUAACUGUGAAAACGCUUAAAAAUGAAAUUCAAAAAGAUUCAAGAGAGUAUCAGAUCACAUUGCUCAAGCAAAGUGGUUUCUUUCCACUUUAUGUUAAUAAAAGGAAGAAAAUUACUUCGUGUUGAAUCUACUGGCACAAUCCUAGCGUGUUUAUGUACAUUGAGAUCACAUAUAAUUUACUACAAGGACUCCGAAUGUUUCUUUCCAAUGUUAGCCAAUGUACGGGAAAAUUGGUACACAGUUGGGAACAUUAGCCCACUUUUGCAUUUUCCACCUCAUGCUACUGGGAGGAGAAAAGUAUGGAAGUUGAAAUAAGGACCUGGCAUCCAGUACUUAUACAAUGACUAAACUAAAUACCGAAAGGAUUUUGUGGAACAAAUUGCAGUAAAAAAAGGUAU
rnacentral:lncRNA from 1 species